rnacentral:tRNA from 1 species
AUUUUCGUAGUUUACUUAAAACAUUACACUUUCAUUGUAAAAAAGAAUUAUAAUUCCGUAAAUA